GAAGUUCAACAAAAGAAAAUUCUCAUUGUCUGCAUUUCUAUUUAUCCUACAAUAUUAGAAACAGAAUAAUGUUCUAUAAAUGAAUUAUUGUUUAUUCCCUAUCAUGAUUAUCACCAAAAAUAAUGUUGUCUUAUAGAGGAAGAAGAUGUUACAGAAAAAGAUCCAUUCCAAGUGUCAGAUAUCUUACUGCAUUUGCUAUUUCACAGUUGAACAGGAUAUGACACUUGACCACAAGAACCUUAUAAUAAAGCAGGACAUACACAUACACUAUAGGGAUACAACCACUAUGUGUGCUAAAAUGUGACAAGAGAUAAUAUAGAAAAUAUCAGGAAAAGUCUGAGACAACACAGAAUAAUGAAAAGUGACUUCUAAUCUGUAGGUGGGAAAUUAGCUUUCUUAGAAAUAUUGUGAAAUGGAUAGUGUUUUUUAAGUAACGAUAAUGAAGUAAGUGAUAUCCCAGUUUAAGUAUUAGGCAGGAAUUAGACAGGAAACGGAGAGAAAUACAAGUUGACAGGGGCCUCAAUCUUCACUGUGCAUCUGCUUCACCUGAAGAACUUUUAAAAAAUACACAUGCCUGGGCGCCACCCAAAAAUUCCAAAUCAGUCAGUAGUGGUGGACUACAGCAUUAUUACUUUUUUAACUUCCCACAUGAUUUUAUCUUUAGUAAGAUCUGAGACCACCAAGCAGUGAAAGAAAAUAAAGAAUAUUAAGUGUUUAAAAUGUAUGAUUCAGAGGUAGUUCCUCCCAUAUUAAAAAGCUUGUACUUAAUUUUAGCUUUUGGAAAAUGACAUGAAUAAUAUGAUGGUUUUGUUAAUCCCAGUAUAGAGUUCUCUACAUUUUUGGGGACCAUUUUCAUCUUGGACGUGGACCAACUAUGGAGACGCCCAAGCAGAUGGCCUGCAAUGAAGUUUCGAAGAGGUUCUGGACAUCCUGCAUAUGCUGAAGUAGAACCAGUUGGAGAGAAAGAAGGUUUUAUUGUAUCAGAGCAGUGCUAAAAUUUCUAGAACAGAGCAGCACCAGUACUGGCCUACAGGUGUUAAGACUAAAAUUUUGCUUAUACCUUUAAGACAAACAAAAAAACACAUACAUACAAAGGAGCCCUAGGCUGCUGUAGCCUGAAGGAGACAAGAUUUCUGGACAAGCCCAGCCCAGGAAGGGUGAAAGAAAGAAAACUCAAACUUACACAAGAUACCAUAUUACCACUGAACAUAGAAUUCCCUAGUGGAAUGACAUCUAUAGUUCACUCAGAACAUCUCUUAUGGACUUACCAGAAGUAUGACAAGGUUACAGUGCUGUUGGCUUAGAUGCAGGGUGCAUAGGGAUGGAGAAAAUAGUAAUAAUAAUAAAGCUUUAGUUCUCAAGGGAUCUAUAACUUUGGUUCAAAUGUUCUUCUCUGAUGUCUCAAAGAUAACUGUUUCAAAGCUUUAACCCUUUCACUCAAAAAAAAAGUUUCAAGAUUGCUGAGAAAAUUAGUUCAUGCCAGAGCAAAAACAAACACAAAAUAGGAUAUUUUCUAUCUUUUCAAAACAGGUAUGUGGUAAAAGGAUUUUGUUUAUCUGGUCUAGAUCCAUCUGUUCCAAGAAGUUCAUUACUUACAAGACACAUCUUUUAUCUGUACAAGAGGUUCAAACUGUGCCUCCCUCUUUUUUGGUAGUGAAUACCCUUCCAUGGCUGUGACAGAAUUUCCAAACCUUUACCUCUGUUAGAAAAGAGGGAAUGGCAAGUGAGGCUUUCAAUUUUCCUGCUUCAGAUUAGAACACAUGACUUGUUUUAAGAAGCUUUGCCUCCAUUUUCCCAACUGUGAAGUCAAGCAAAGUCCACAGUUGCUCUUGGCUGAAGGAAACAAUACAAAGAGUUCCUUAAUCAUUUUUAAAGCAACAAUGUUAAGGGAUAUUAAACAUAUGAAUUUUUAAGUUUUUGCUUUUUCAGUACUAACGGCCCAUUUCAUUGUCGAUUUCUGUCUAAGAAGCCAUUCAAGUCCAGCACACAUCCCUGGUGAUAAAAAAUGAAUGACAGUGUUUCAAAACCCUGUUGAAUCAUACAGUACUUUUCUUUAAAGCACAUAGUAGUGACAUAAAUAUAUAUAUAAAUAUAUUUUUGUUUAUAACUAACACAAGGCAGGCUCUUGUGACUCUAAGAGUGCAUUUUGUCGCCAAGACAAAACAAAUGCAAGAUGCAUUACUGCAUAUUUCCAUAGAGUUGUAAAAUAAUCCUUAAUAUUAGAAUAUUUUUAUGUCAUUUAGCAAAAGUGGUUCAAUUAGUUGCAGGGCUGAUGAUUCCUCUGCCUAUUUGACCUACUCUUUCAUUCAUAUGAACCCCUUCCCUCCCUGGUUAGGUAAAGCAGAAGCAAAAAGUUCCUUAGAUGGAUCUGUUAUUUGUCCUGUAAUCACAAUCCAAAUUUUAAAAAUUUCCCAUGAAUGAAAAAAAGAAAAGGCAUCCCUAAAGGAUCGAAUACACUGAGCUCCUAAAGUUUAAAUUCAAGAACUGUGUGUAUAAUUUCAUCAACAUCCUGACCUAUGAAACUUUCAUAUUCUGUGCCAAGAAGCUGUUGAUUCUUGUGUUCAACAUUUGCAGAUUCAGGUAUAAAGGAGCAGAGAUGUCUUGUAAGCAGCACUUUUGUAACAGCUCAGCAUCUUAACACAAUGUCUAUAUUAAAUGGCAUCAGUCCACCAACAUGAUAUCAGAUUUUAACUUCAGAAUUGUCUGAAGUAAAUGAGUGCUGUUUUCUGACACAUAUAUUUUGCUUUACAUUUUUAAGUAUCAGAUGAGGGUGGUAACUUUCUCCUAACUUGGUUAAUAAUUGGGAAAAAAAUUGAAAAGCAAGGUGAUUGAAGGAUGUGAUGACAAUCUUUCUGCUGUAACUACAAUUUAUAUGAAAUAUCACAACUUAUUCCUUGGGGAGUAGGUUUGGUCAGAUAGCAAUAAUCAAAUGACUUGCCAAUAUAACUGGUGCAACUGGUAUUCUACAAAUACAUAAGGGACACAUAAAUGACUUCCUUGUAGGAUAAGAUGAUGCUUCUUUCACUAGCUUUUGUGGUGGUGCAGCCUCCAAUAGCAGUUGACUGACAGUUAUAUAAGUCCUACACAUAUAUCUGACUCCUUACACAAUUCUUGUUAGUAAUCCUUAUACCUUUAUCUUCCAUUUUAGACUGAAAAGAAUUGACAGUUCUGGGGGAAAAUAUAAACCUUCUGAAUUGCUCUGUGAGCUAGAGCACAAAGUAAUAGAGGAGAUAUUUUGGAAGUAAAAGGGCUGCUAAAGUUUGGGGAAACCUCCUUACAAACUAGGAGUUAUAAGUGGUGAGAAGUGUCUGUUGUAUAUGAAUCCUUUAGUGAUAAAGGAAAAUAUUGGCUGAAUCCCUUUUUUUCAUGAAACUUUUGUUCUAUUUUAUAUUGCUGGCUUGUUCUUGGUGCCCAUUUACUGCAAAGGAAGAGCAAACAUACACAGUUUCUGGAAAUUCAGAAUGGACAUUGAUGCUUUAGACUUUACAUGUAUUAUGUAUUAGAGAGGGUGUGUGUGCAUACCACUUAAUAUACUAUGAUUGCACAGGCACAGUAAUCAUAGUAGAGAGAGAAUAAUAAUAAAAAGUUAAAAGUACAAAGGCACACGCACAAAAUUCUAGCAAAAUCAGAUAAUUGAUAACAGAGGAAGUUAACUGUUUAAAGCUUAACCACUUGUAAAAAUAAUAUUCAGUGAUUAAGUAAAGGUACUAAGAGUCAAGAAAAACAUCUUAAGCCAACUGUUUAGCACUAACCACAAUGUUGGUUUGUUUAUGAAAUUCAGGAUUUACUAACAGAAAGCUAACGAUAAAGUGGCAAUUUACCCCCAAUGGUUAUUUUAGUUUGAGAUGCCUAGGACAUUUGACAGUCUCUCACAUGUGACUUCUAGAGUUGUGCUGUCCAACAUAAUAGUCACUAGCCACUCGUGAGUAAUGAAAAUUAAAUAAAAUUUAAAAUUUAGUUCCUCAGUCACACUAGCCACAAUUCAAGUGUAAUAGCUGCACGUGGCUAGUGGCUACCAUAUUGGACAAUACAGAUAGAACAUUUCCAUCAUCACAAGACCUGCUAUAAACCAAACCAAACUUGUUGCCGUUGAGUCUAUUCUGACUCUUAGCGAUCCUAUAGGACAGAGUAGAACUGCCCCAUAAAGUUUCCAAGGAGCUAUAGAGUUCUUUUAAUUCUCUUUCCUUGGAAGAGGAGGAGGAAGGAAAGAAGAUUUGGUAGCAUUUGUGUACAUCCAAGUGAUUUUCGUCUCAGAAAAGCACCAUAGAGUAAUGAAAAGAAUACUAGCUGACCCAGCUUUGAGUCUCCACUGUUAUCUUAGGAAGAUCACUCUGAUUUCCAUAAGUCUCAAUUUGCAAUUUUGGUAAAUAAAAAUAAUUUUUGUCCUAUCUUACUUGCAGGAUUACUUAUGUAGACUGGAAAAUGUAUAGAUUAGUAAAGACUUUUAAAGCCUUAUA